rnacentral:rRNA from 1 species
UACGUAGGGUGCGAGCGUUGUCCGGAAUUAUUGGGCGUAAAAGAGCUCGUAGGCGGUCUGUCGCGUCUGGUGUGAAAAUCAAGGGCUUAACCCUGGACCUGCAUCGGGUACGGGCAGACUAGAGUGCGGUAGGGGAGAUCGGAAUUCCUGGUGUAGCGGUGAAAUGCGCAGAUAUCAGGAGGAACACCGGUGGCGAAGGCGGAUCUCUGGGCCGUAACUGACGCUGAGGAGCGAAAGCAUGGGGAGCGAAACAGG